UCAAACGGCGCCAGGCCCAGGCCUCAGCGAGGAGCGGUGGCGGAGGCUGCGCCGGUGGCGGGGCUGGGGGCGAUGCGCGCCACGGGCACCCGCGGGCCUGGAGGGACCCCUGCCCAGGGCCCCGUUACCAGCAGCCGCCGCCCACCUGCCCCAGGAGCCACGGUCGGUUAGGGUCUGGCCGGCACCGGGGUCUGGUGCGGGGCUGGCGGGGCCCGGCCCGUAACGGGCAGCGGUGUGAGGGCACGGCACGGCUGGAAGUUGGAGGAAAGCCUCUGGAUGUUGGCGUUUCCCUUUCCUGCAGCCUCCGGCCCGUCGGCAGGGGAAGGCAGCGAGGCCGCGGGCAGCGCAGGAGCUGCUCCCUGCGAGGUUCGCGUGCUCCGCUGGCAGGGCAGGCCGUGAGCAAACAGAGGCACGGCCGAGCGUUCUGAGGGAACGUCCUCUGGCAGACGUGGUGGUAGCCUGGCAUCAAGAAGAAGAUUGACAGGAGAAGAGGACCGGCACCGUGGAGGUUGUGAGCAGAGAGAUUUCCGUCAGUGUUUUUUUUGCCGGGAGUAAUUUAUUGGUGUGCUGGAGUUGUUCGGAAUGACCAGAAAAUUUCCAGCCAUGGAGGAGGCUGACAUGGGGGGUAUAGCUCAGUGGCAGAGCAUUUGACUGCAGAUCAAGAGGUCCCUGGUUCAACUCCAGGUGCCCCCUCUUUUAAAUGUCUUUUUCAGCCGGCCUUUUGCCCAGGAAAGCUCAGGGCUUCUGCUCUGAGUUGCUCUGCGCUGUUUUUGUGUAAGUUUGGGAUUUUCUGUAGUGACUCCCUGCAGAAAUUACAUCCGUUGCCCUGUCCAGGCUGCUGUCAGGGUGAUGAAUCUGAACCCGCGGUCAGACACUGGGCGUGUGUAACUGCUUUUAAAACCACCUUGCGGAGGGCUUGCUGCAGGGGGUAUAGCUCAGUGGCAGAGCAUUUGACUGCAGAUCAAGAGGUCCCCGGUUCAACUCCGGGUGCCCCCUUGCAAUUGUGCUUUUUUCAGGAAAAAGUACGAGGCGUGUGCCUCACUUUUAGAUCCUGCAUGCUGCUGCAUGGCCAAAGGGCUGCUCUCUGAACCGAACCCAAGACAGAGCGUUAACCUAAAAAUGCACGGCCAAAUUUGCGUGCAUGUCAGUGACGAGGCAAAGGCACGAUGCCAGUUCCUGGGCUGUAGGAGUCGUCGUUUUGAUCAGGCAAGAGACUGCAGUGGUUCUACACUUUGUCUCCUGUAUUGAUUCUCUGAAUACACUUUGGCGUGUACAUUUUAAUGCAAAGGAGUCUGUCAAAUAAAAAACCAAUCCACCCAGUGGACAUAAAAUCUGAGCUGUCUGUAUUUUUUUUUCCUGCACCUUUCUGGUUGCUGAGCCAAGGGGGUAUAGCUCAGUGGCAGAGCAUUUGACUGCAGAUCAAGAGGUCCCUGGUUCAACUCCAGGUGCCCCCUCUUUACCUCCUUUUCCAACCUUUCUUCUUUACAGACAGAAUAGGGAGAGACCUUCUUAUUAUAAAACCCAGAGGUUUUAGAAGUCACUUCAAGUUCUUUUGCCAAACUGUCAUGGUUUCCGCUGGGAGAGAACUAAUUUUCUUGGUUAAGGCUUGUAUGAUGCUGUGUUUUGGAUUUUUGGUUAAAAUAGUGUUGAUAAUACACUGAUG